UAACGGCGAGUGAAGCGGCAACAGCUCAAAUUUGAAAUCUGGCUUCCUUUGGGAGUCCGAGUUGUAAUUUGCAGAGGAUGUUUCGGGUACCGCUCCGGUUUAAAUUUCUUGGAACAGAAUGUCAGAGAGGGUGAGAAUCCCGUCUUGGACCGGCGGUAGGGCCCAUGUGAAACUCCCUCGACGAGUCGAGUUGUUUGGGAAUGCAGCUCAAAAUGGGUGGUAAAUUUCAUCUAAAGCUAAAUAUUGGCCAGAGACCGAUAGCGCACAAGUAGAGUGAUCGAAAGAUGAAAAGCACUUUGAAAAGAGAGUUAAACAGUAUGUGAAAUUGUUGAAAGGGAAGCGCUUGCGACCAGACUUGUACGCGGCGGUUCCCCCGUCCUUUUGGGCGGGCUAUUCCGUCGUGUUCAGGCCAACAUCGGUUCUGGGGGUUGGUUAAAGGCUUAGGGAAUGUAUCUACCCUUCGGGCGUAGACUUAUAGCCCUAGGUGUCAUACAACCUCCCGGGACCGAGGAACGCGCUUCGGCUCGGAUGUUGGCGUAAUGGUCGUAAGCGACCCGUCUUGAAACACGGACCAAGGAGUCUAACAUUUAUGCGAGUGUUUGGGUGUUAAACCCGGAACGCGGAAUGAAAGUGAACGGAGGUAGGAAGCUUUUAGCUGCACUAUCGACCGAUCCUGAUGUCUUCGGAUGGAUUUGAGUAAGAGCAUAACUGUUGGGACCCGAAAGAUGGUGAACUAUGCCUGAAUAGGGUGAAGCCAGAGGAAACUCUGGUGGAGGCUCGCAGCGGUUCUGACGUGCAAAU
rnacentral:rRNA from 1 species